GCGCAUUAGUUAGUUGGUGAGGUAACGGCUCACCAAGGCGACGAUGCGUAGCCGACCUGAGAGGGUGAUCGGCCACACUGGGACUGAGACACGGCCCAGACUCCUACGGGAGGCAGCAGUAGGGAAUCAUCCGCAAUGGACGCAAGUCUGACGGUGCAACGCCGCGUGAGCGAUGAAGGUCUUCGGAUCGUAAAGCUCUGUUGUGAGGGAAGAACAAGUGCUGUUCGAAUAGGGCGGCACCUUGACGGUACCUCACCAGAAAGCCCCGGCUAACUACGUGCCAGCAGCCGCGGUAAUACGUAGGGGGCAAGCGUUGUCCGGAAUUAUUGGGCGUAAAGCGCGCGCAGGCGGUUCCUUAAGUCUGAUGUGAAAGGCCACAGCUCAACUGUGGAGGGCCAUUGGAAACUGGGGAACUUGAGGACAGAAGAGGAGAGCGGAAUUCCACGUGUAGCGGUGAAAUGCGUAGAUAUGUGGAGGAACACCAGUGGCGAAGGCGGCUCUCUGGUCUGUAACUGACGCUGAGGCGCGAAAGCAUGGGUAGCGAACAGGAUUAGAUACCCUGGUAGUCCAUGCCGUAAACGUUGAGUGCUAGGUGUUAGGGGGUCCAACCCUUAGUGCUGCAGUUAACGCAAUAAGCACUCCGCCUGGGGAGUACGGCCGCAAGGCUGAAACUCAAAGGAAUUGACGGGGGCCUGCACAGCGGUGGAGCAUGGGUUUAAUUCGACGCAACGCGAAGACCUUACCAGGUCUUGACAUCUUCGGACAGCCCAAGAGAUUGGGUCUUCCCUUCGGGACCGAUGACAGGUGG
rnacentral:rRNA from 1 species